rnacentral:rRNA from 1 species
CCUUGCCAGCCCGCUCAGAAACUCAAGGAAGUUGACGGGGGCCCGCACAAGCGGUGGAGCAUGUGGUUUAAUUCGAUGAUACGCGAGGAACCUUACCUGGGCUCAAAUGUAUGUUGACGUAUUCUGAAAGGGAUACUUCUUCGGACAAUAUACAAGGUGCUGCAUGGUUGUCGUCAGCUCGUGCCGUGAGGUGUCGGGUUAAGUCCCAUAACGAGCGCAACCCUACCUUUAGUUGCCAUCAGGUAAUGCUGGGGACUCUAAAGGAACUGCCUACGCAAGUAGUGAGGAAGGCGGGGAUGACGUCAAAUCAGCACGGCCCUUACGUCCAGGGCUACACACGUGCUACAAUGGCCGAUACAGAGGGCAGCUACCUGGUGACAGGAUGCAAAUCUCCAAAGUCGGUCUCAGUUCGGAUCGGAGUCUGCAACCCGACUCCGUGAAGUUGGAUUCGCUAGUAAUCGCGCAUCAGCCAUGGCGCGGUGAAUACGUUCCCGGGCCUU